rnacentral:misc_RNA from 1 species
GAAGAACGAGGCUCAACCACAGACACUCCCUGCAUCUUCUUUAUAACUUUUAGAUUCCUUAAAUAAACUGACCUUCUAAAUUCUUAUCAAUAAACUUGAAAUAUUAUUUUCUUCGUAGUAUGUCUGAUGUAGUGUAUCAUACUUACAAUUAUUUAUAUCCACGUGAUUUAUACAAGUUUAAAAAAUUAAUUACAUUAGUAACGAUUUUGAUAAUAAUUGCAGGUUACAUAAUAAAAAUGUUGAAUUUUUUUUUUUUAAUAAUAGAGCCUAAAAACUGAGCAUAGUGUGUGAGUAAAAAUAUAUUUUGAAAAUUGUAUUCUUUUAUCAUAUCGAAUACAGGCCGUAAACAAAAAUGAGGGAGAUGGAGGAGAAAAAAGUAUGGUAACGAUUAAACAGCGCUUGCGCAGUUAAUUCUUGUGCUGUUAGGUUUCUCUAGGGUGAAGUACACAAGGGUGUCAGAAUAUUUUAGAAAUAAUGAAGUGUACUUUUUAUCAAUCAAUUCACAUAUGAUUAUUUACUGUUGUUUAUCAUGAAUACAUAUCAUAUGACCAUUAAUGGAAAACCUGUGCAUUUAAUCAGUGUCAAUUACUAGUUAAAUAGAAGAAAAAAUGUUGCGAAAACAAACAGUAUCUGUUGGAGACAUCAAUGAAAUUGCCGAGUUAUUGGACAAACAACGGAAUGUAUUACGGGAACUUGACCAAAAGAAACCACAGCUCGAUGAAUUGGUUCACACUGCAGAAAAUUUACGGGCUGAUAAUAAUCGGCAACAAUUGCACGGUAAAGUGACAAAAUUAAGGGAACAUUGGAAUGAAACAAAUUCAAAAGUGAUGCAUCGCAAAGCACAAUUAGAUGCGAUGUUAAUUGAUAGUCAAAAAUAUGAAGCAAAACGAACUGAAAUAGAAAUGUGGAUCGAUCGGAUGGACUUACGAAUCACAAAAAUGCGUCCUAUUGGGCACACUGCAGAUGUAUUGGAGAAUCAAUUAAAAGAACAAAAGUGUCUCCAAGCAGAAAUUCUCCAAUAUGACCGUCAAAUAGAAGCAUUUAAUCAAUUCUCUCAAAAGCUAAUCUCUUUAUAUCAACAAGAUGAUACUACUCGAAUUAAAAAAAUGACUGAUAUAAUAAAUCAACAGUACACUAAUUUAACUGAAGGCAUUAACAAUAGAGGAAAACUACUUCAUUCAGCAAUUAAUUCUCUACACAAUUUCGAUCGAUCUCUAGAUAAAUUUUUAGCAUGGUUAAGUGAAGCUGAAUCUUCGAUGGAGCAACUCGAAACUGAAACUGAUCGUUUGGGAGGGCGUAGAGAUGAAAAUGUUCUCAAUAGACCACAAUAUAUCUUUAAAGAUCUUCAAUUAGAAAUAGAUAAUCAACGUGACAUAUAUACUUCAUUAAAUACCACGGGUCGUCAGAUAUUAAACUCAUUUACUUGUCAAGAAGAUGCAAUCAUGUUACAACGACGUUUAGAUGAAAUGAAUCAAAGAUGGCUUCAUUUGAAGACUACAAGUAUGGCUAUAAGAAAUCGUUUAGAAAAUAAUUCUGAACAUUGGAAUUCAUUAUUAUCAUCAUUACGUGAAUUAACGGAAUGGGUGAUUCGAAAAGACAUAGAAUUAACUAGCUCAGGACCGAUUCAAGGGGAUAUAGUUUCGUUGCAAAAAAUGCAGGAUGAUUAUAAAGGUUUUCGAAGACAAUUAGAAGAUAAGCAGCCAAUAAUUGAAAAUAGUUUAUUAAACAGUGGACAGUAUAUUAAAAACGAAUUGUCUCUUGCGGAUUCUCAAGACCAUGAUGGACAACAACUAGAUGAUUCUAAAAACUAUCGAAGUAUUGGGAAAACAACGAGAAAAUUAAUGCAAAAUAUUCAAUUUGAAAUAAAGAAUCUGACGGAGCAUUGGAAUAAGCUGAUGAAUCAUAGUGAAGAAUGGAAGAAACAAAUUGACGAUGCAAUCAACAAAAUAUGCAAUUUUGAAAAAUUAUUAGAAGAUCUUCUAUCACAAAUUUCUGCAUUAGAAAUGAUCCAAUGUAAUUGGACAAGUCCUUCAAACUCAUCGGAAGCAAGUGAUAUGUCAAAACAACUGCAACAAUUCGGCAACAAAAUGAGUCUUAUUCAACAAAAUAUUGAUGAAAUCAAUGAUCAAGCAAAUUUAUUUACUACAAUCAAUAUCUUAGUAUCACAUGGAUUGCUAAUGAAGCUGGAGGAUGCUAAUAAAAGAUGGAAAAUAUUACAAUCAGCUGUCGAUGAUCGAUAUAAAACAUUGAACAAAUUCGGAAAGGAUGAAAAUAUUCUUCACAAUCAAGACUUUCUAGCUAGUAGUGUUGAGCCGCCUUGGGAAAGAGCCACUACAUCUACUAAAGUGCCUUACUACAUCAAUCACCAAUUGGAAACAACACAUUGGGAUCAUCCAAAGAUGAUUGAAUUAAUGUCAUCCCUAUCCAAUCUUAAUGAAGUUCGAUUUUCUGCUUAUAGAACAGCAAUAAAACUUCGCACCGUACAAAAACGAUUAUAUCUUGAUGCAUUGAAUCUCUCCACUACUCUUGAACAUUUCGAUUCUCAUGGAUUACGUGCACAAAAUGAUAAGCUUAUUGAUAUACCUGAUAUGAUCACUGUUCUAACAUCCUUAUAUAUGGCUAUUGCAAGUGAUCAUGCUAGUCAGAUUCCAAUUCCAUUGUGCAUAGACUUAGCGGUUAAUUGGCUUUUAAACGUUUACGAUAGUCAGAGAACUGGUCAAAUUCGUGUGCUUUCAUUUAAAGUCGGUUUGGUGUUGCUUUGUAAGGGACAUUUAGAAGAAAAAUACAGAUAUCUUUUCCGUUUAAUUGCUGAUCCAAAUAGACUUGUUGAUCAACGAAAAUUGGGAUUGUUAUUGCACGACUGUAUCCAAGUUCCACGGCAGCUUGGCGAAGUAGCAGCGUUUGGUGGAUCAAAUAUCGAGCCAAGUGUACGAAGUUGUUUUGAAAAGGCAGGAAAAACUAGAAAUGAAAUUGAAGCUAGCCAUUUUUUGAGUUGGUUACAGCAAGAACCACAAAGCAUGGUAUGGUUACCAGUUCUUCAUAGAUUAGCAGCGGCAGAAGAAGCAAAACAUCAGGCAAAAUGUAAUAUUUGUAAAGAAUAUCCAAUCAUUGGUUUCCGGUAUCGUUGUUUGAAAUGUUUUAAUUUUGACAUGUGUCAAAAUUGCUUCUUCUCAGGUAAAAAAGCGAAAAAUCAUAAAUUGACGCAUCCAAUGCAGGAGUACUGUACAGCGACAACAUCUGGUGAAGAUGUACGAGACUUUACCAGAGCUUUACGAAAUAAAUUUAAAUCCAAGCGGUACUUCAAAAAACAUCCUCGUGUUGGAUACUUACCAGUACAAACAGUUUUGGAGGGUGAUGCACUAGAAAGUCCAACUCCAUCACCCCAACAUAGUUCUCUCAGUCAUGACAUGCAUUCACGUUUAGAAAUGUAUGCUUCAAGAUUAGCUGAAGUAGAAUUGUCAAGAACAAAAAGUAAUUCUACACCUGACAGUGAUGAUGAACAUCAGUUGAUAGCACAUUUCUGUCAAAGCCUUAAUGGAAAUGAAAAUCAUCUACCAAGAAGUCCAGUACAAGUGAUGGCUGCUAUUGACGCAGAACAAAGAGAGGAGCUUGAAUCGAUGAUUAGAGAAUUGGAAGAUGAAAAUUCUGCUCUUCAAGCAGAAUACGAAAGGCUAAAAUCUAAACAAACACCAGGAUCAACUCCAGAAGAUAAUCAUGGUGUACGUCAUCCAGAAUGUGAUAUGAUCGCCGAAGCAAAUUUAUUGAGACAGCACAAAGGACGUUUAGAAGCAAGAAUGCAGAUCCUAGAAGAUCACAAUCGUCAAUUAGAAUCUCAACUACAUCGACUUCGACAGCUUUUGGAAGAGCCACAUAUCCAGUCACCAUCGAAAAUGGGAACUUUACAGACCCGAAGUGUAACUGCUUCUCAGCUAGCUACUGAUUCACCAUCAAAAGUGAAUGGAAAUUAUUAUGAAUUACCAGCUUUAUGGAUUUGAAAUCGAUAUAAAACGAUUAAUAACUAAUCCAUAAUUCAGGAGAAGAAGAAAUCUCUGAUAACAGCAGAAUAAGCAGCUUGGAGAGACCUCCACCUCCUCCACCACGUUCUCAUAUUGUUCCAAAUAUGGGCGAUCUUCUACAGAUGACAGGAAAACUGGAAAAUGCUAUGGAAACACUUGUUUCAGC